ensembl:lncRNA
CUGCAUUCAGUCUUUCUGUCAGCCUGUCCCUCUCCAUUCAGCUCAGAGGGGGACGAUUGGUCGGAAUUGUAAGGCUAAAUAAAAGCCAUGUUUGGGCUUUGCAGGGGCGCUUUCGGAGGCAAAACUCUAUUUGAGGCUGGCAUUUCUGUCAAGCACAACAGGGAUUAGGUUUUAGGCUGAUCCGACCACCAGGAGAGGAGAGAGAGGCUGCCUGUGUUUAGAGAGGCUGAUUUGGGCUGCAGAGGUUGAUAUGGAACAGUAGUCAGACGCUUAAAUGCAAGACGUGGAAACUGAAGGGGGCCUGCUCAGUAUAAUCACUUGCAGAAAUGUUACACAACAGGGAAGAGGCAGAGAGAGGAUCAUAGCUGGAAUUGCAUCUGCUGAGAGAGAUGUCAGACAGGUCGGUCUUAGAAGACAGGGGUCAAAUCUGACAGACAGACAGUCAAGUGAGCACCAGUGAUGACUGAGAGAAGCAGCCCUGUCCUGUUUCCUGUCCUCGAUCGGAGGUGGAAUGCGUGCCGGCCUACCUGCACAUCCCUCAUGGUGAGCUGCAUUAGCAUAAAUCCAUUAUGCAAGCACGGUGGUGGGCCUGGAAGUGCAUCAUAAGAGAGGAGCCCUAUUUAUCUAUUUAUAGCAUGUACCUGGCAUCUGUUCGACCAGCCUGAUCGCUGUCUGCCAAUUAACACAGUAGUGAAGUCAGACUGCAGUUGCGGUGGAGUACAGAGGGCAUCCUACAAG